rnacentral:rRNA from 1 species
CACGUAGGGUGCGAGCGUUGUCCGGAAUUACUGGGCGUAAAGAGCUCGUAGGUGGUUUGUCGCGUUGUUCGUGAAAACUCACAGCUUAACUGUGGGCGUGCGGGCGAUACGGGCAGACUGGAGUACUGCAGGGGAGACUGGAAUUCCUGGUGUAGCGGUGGAAUGCGCAGAUAUCAGGAGGAACACCGGUGGCGAAGGCGGGUCUCUGGGCAGUAACUGACGCUGAGGAGCGAAAGCGUGGGGAGCGAACAGG